CCUACGGGUGGCAGCAGUGGGGAAUAUUGCGCAAUGGGCGAAAGCCUGACGCAGUGACGCCGCGUGAGGGAUGAAGGUCUUCGGAUCGUAAACCUCUGUCAGCAGGGAAGAACGGUCACUGUGCUAAUCAUCAGUGAAUUGACGGUACCUGCAAAGGAAGCACCGGCUAACUCCGUGCCAGCAGCCGCGGUAAUACGGAGGGUGCGAGCGUUAAUCGGAAUUACUGGGCGUAAAGCGCGCGUAGGCGGUAUGUCAAGUCAAGGGUGAAAUCCCCGGGCUCAACGUGGGAACUGCCUUUGAAACUGGCAGACUGGAGUAUGUGAGAGGAUAGUGGAAUUCCAGGUGUAGGAGUGAAAUCCGUAGAUAUCUGGAGGAACAUCAGUGGCGAAGGCGACUAUCUGGCACAUAACUGACGCUGAGGAGCGAAAGCGUGGGUAGCAAACAGGAUUAGAUACCCCAGUAGUC
rnacentral:rRNA from 1 species